rnacentral:rRNA from 1 species
AUGGUAGGAUAGAGGCCUACCAUGGUGGUAACGGGUAACGGGGUGUUAGGGCACGACACCGGAGAGGGAGCCUGAGAAACGGCUACCACAUCCAAGGAUGGCAGCAGGCGCGCAAAUUACCCAAUCCCGACACGGGGAGGUAGUGACAAUAAAUAACAAUACGGGGUUCUUUAGGAUCUCGUAAUUGGAAUGAGUACAAUUUAAAUCUCUUAACGAGGAACAAUUGGAGGGCAAGUCUGGUGCCAGCAGCCGCGGUAAUUCCAGCUCCAAUAGCGUAUAUUAAAGUUGUUGCAGCUAAAAAGCUCGUAGUUGAAUUUCGGGGUCAGUAGGUCGGUCGUGCCACUGGUAUGAACUGGUUUUACUGAUUCCUCCCUCUUGAAGAACUGUAAUGCCAUUAAUUUGGUGUUGCAGGGAAUCAGGACUGUUACUUUGAAAAAAUUAGAGUGUUUAAAGCAGGCUUUAGCUUGAAUACAUUAGCAUGGAAUAAUGAAAUAGGACGUUUGAUCCUAUUUUGUUGGUUUCUAGGAUUGACGUAAUGAUUAAUAGGGAUAGUUGGGGGCAUUAGUAUUCAAUUGUCAGAGGUGAAAUUCUUGGAUUUAUUGAAGACUAACUACUGCGAAAGCAUUUGCCAAGGAUGUUUUCAUUAAUCAAGAACGAAAGUUAGGGGAUCGAAGACGAUCAGAUACCGUCGUAGUCUUAACCAUAAACUAUGCCGACUAGGGAUCGGAUGAUGUUAAUUUUUUAAUGACUCAUUCGGCGCCUUACGGGAAACCAAAGUGUUUGGG